GUGCUUGCUUCAGCAGCUCAUAUACAAAAAUUGGAACGAUACAGAGAAGAUUAGCAUGGCCCCUGCCCAAGGAUGACACGCUAGACGAAUGGCUAGCAAACAUGAAA